UGAUUGCAGAAUUCCGCGAAUCAUCGAGUCUUUGAACGCAAGUUGCGCCCGAGGCUUGUCCAAGGGCAUUUCCGCUAGAGCGUCACC
rnacentral:rRNA from 1 species